AUUGAACGCUGGCGGCAGGCCUAACACAUGCAAGUCGAGCGGAUGAAGGGAGCUUGCUCCUGGAUUCAGCGGCGGACGGGUGAGUAAUGCCUAGGAAUCUGCCUGGUAGUGGGGGAUAACGUCCGGAAACGGGCGCUAAUACCGCAUACGUCCUGAGGGAGAAAGUGGGGGAUCUUCGGACCUCACGCUAUCAGAUGAGCCUAGGUCGGAUUAGCUAGUUGGUGGGGUAAAGGCCUACCAAGGCGACGAUCCGUAACUGGUCUGAGAGGAUGAUCAGUCACACUGGAACUGAGACACGGUCCAGACUCCUACGGGAGGCAGCAGUGGGGAAUAUUGGGCAAUGGGCGAGAGCCUGAUCCAGCCAUGCCGCGUGUGUGAAGAAGGUCUUCGGAUUGUAAAGCACUUUAAGUUGGGAGGAAGGGCAGUAAGUUAAUACCUUGCUGUUUUGACGUUACCAGCAGAAUAAGCACCGGCUAACUUCGUG
rnacentral:rRNA from 1 species